CAGUAGCCGCGGGAAUACAGAGGGUGCGAGCGUUAAUCGGAUUUACUGGGCGUAAAGCGUGCGUAGGCGGCUUCUUAAGUCGGAUGUGAAAUCCCUGAGCUUAACUUAGGAAUUGCAUUCGAUACUGGGAAGCUAGAGUAUGGGAGAGGAUGGUAGAAUUCCAGGUGUAGCGGUGAAAUGCGUAGAGAUCUGGAGGAAUACCGAUGGCGAAGGCAGCCAUCUGGCCUAAUACUGACGCUGAGGUAAGAAAGCAUGGGGAGCAAACAGGAUUAGAUACCCCUGUAGUCCCUGUCUCUUAUAC
rnacentral:rRNA from 1 species